rnacentral:rRNA from 1 species
AGUCGAACGGCAGCACAGGAGAGCUUGCUCUCUGGGUGGCGAGUGGCGGACGGGUGAGGAAUACAUCGGAAUCUACUUUUUCGUGGGGGAUAACGUAGGGAAACUUACGCUAAUACCGCAUACGACCUACGGGUGAAAGCAGGGGAUCUUCGGACCUUGCGCGAUUGAAUGAGCCGAUGUCGGAUUAGCUAGUUGGCGGGGUAAAGGCCCACCAAGGCGACGAUCCGUAGCUGGUCUGAGAGGAUGAUCAGCCACACUGGAACUGAGACACGGUCCAGACUCCUACGGGAGGCAGCAGUGGGGAAUAUUGGACAAUGGGCGCAAGCCUGAUCCAGCCAUACCGCGUGGGUGAAGAAGGCCUUCGGGUUGUAAAGCCCUUUUGUUGGGAAAGAAAUCCAGCCGGCUAAUACCUGGUUGGGAUGACGGUACCCAAAGAAUAAGCACCGGCUAACUUCGUGCCAGCAGCCGCGGUAAUACGAAGGGUGCAAGCGUUACUCGGAAUUACUGGGCGUAAAGCGUGCGUAGGUGGUUAUUUAAGUCCGUUGUGAAAGCCCUGGGCUCAACCUGGGAACUGCAGUGGAUACUGGAUGACUAGAAUGUGGUAGAGGGUAGCGGAAUUCCUGGUGUAGCAGUGAAAUGCGUAGAGAUCAGGAGGAACAUCCAUGGCGAAGGCAGCUACCUGGACCAACAUUGACACUGAGGCACGAAAGCGUG